rnacentral:misc_RNA from 1 species
AGCAGCCGCGGUAAUUCCAGCUCCAAUAGCGUAUAUUAAAGUUGCUGCAGUUAAAAAGCUCGUAGUUGAAUUUCGGGACUAAUAUGUCGGUCGUGCCUCGGUACGUACUGGCUUAUUGGUUUCUCCUUCCUGAAGAACCAUGAUGUCAUUUAUUUGGUGUCGUGGGGAAUCAGGACUGUUACUUUGAAAAAAUUAGAGUGUUUAAAGCAGGCUCACGCUUGAAUACAUUAGCAUGGAAUAAUGAAAUAGGACGUUUGAUUCUAUUUUGUUGGUUUCUAGGAUCGACGUAAUGAUUAAUAGGGAUAGUUGGGGGCAUUAGUAUUCAAUUGUCAGAGGUGAAAUUCUUGGAUUUAUUGAAGACUAACUACUGCGAAAAGCAUUUGCCAAGGAUGUUUUCAUUAAUCAAGAACGAAAGUUAGGGGAUCGAAGACGAUCAGAUACCGUCGUAGUCUUAACCAUAAACUAUGCCGACUAGGGAUCGGAUGAUGUUAAUUUUUAAUGUACUCAUUCGGCGCCUUAA